rnacentral:misc_RNA from 1 species
AACGCACAUUGCGCCCACUAGUAUUCUGGUGGGCAUGCCUGUUCGAGCGUCAUUUCAACCCUUAAGCCCUCGUUGCUUAGUGUUGGGAGACUACGGCAUCGUAGCUCCCCAAAGUCAGUGGCGGAGCCGGUUUCACGCUCUAGACGUAGUAGAUUUAUCUCGUCUGCAGCUGGGCCGGUCCCCUGCCGUAAAACACACCAAUUUUAAAGGUUGACCUCGGAUCAGGUAGGAAUACCCGCUGAACUUAA